ensembl:lncRNA
AUGUUAAAAAAAGAAGGAACUAUGUUCCUGAAAAAUGAAUCACUGUUGUCAAAGACUGCACAUUUGUGUGGACGCAGUACAUUGGUUAUGUCUUGUGUGCUUAGUUGCUCAGUUGUGUCAGGCUCUUCACAACCCUAUGGACAAAUAGCCCGCCAGGCUCCUCUGUCCAUGGGAUUCUCCAGGCAAGAGUACUGGAGUGGGGUGCCAUACACAGUGUAUGAUGGUUAGAGUUCAGUCGUUUCAGAAAGAGCUGAGGGUCUGGGUGAGAUGGGUCACCUGCUGUAGACAAGGCAGUGAUCUCAGCACUGGGGACACAGCGAUGAACAGAAUUUCUGCUCCGAGUUAACUCACAUCCCAGUGGAGAAGCAGAUUGUAAACCUGUAAGCCAACAGAUACCCCACAGGUGGUGACGAGGAUCAAGAACAAAGAUAAAGCCGAAUAAGGAGCCAUGGAAGGGUGGGGGUUGUGUGGGGAGCUUUGUUCGUAUGGGGAGGUGCAGGGAGGUCUUCCUGUAGUGACUCAGGCGGAGGCUUGAGGGGAUGCGAGGGACUCAGCCAUGAGGGUGUCUCGGGGAGGGCCAUUCUGGGCAGAAGGAGCAGCCAGUGCAAGGGCCCUGAGGUAGGACUGGGUUUGGCAUUUACAGCGCACAGCAAGGAGGCCAGUGUGGCUCAGGCAGAGUGAGUGAGGGGAAGGGUGGGAGCAUCUGAGAUCAGAGAAGGGCAGGAACCAGAUCACAGAGGGCCUUGUGGACUGUUGUGAAGAUGUGGCUUUGACACUGAGGAGGGGAGCUCCUGGGAAUAGAGGGGUGAGCAGAGGAGACACAUGGCCCAAGUUGCCUUUCAAAAGGAUCCCAUGAUCCGCUGGAAAAUGUCCCCUGCCCUGAAUAUCCACAUCCUAACUAUCAGACCUAUGAAUGCGUUGUUUUACGUGGCGAAAGGGACUUUGCAGAUGUGAUGAAGGUUAAAGUCCUCGAUGGAGAGGAAACUGGCUUAUUCUGGUGGGGCCACGGAUGGCAUCACAAGGGUCCUUAUAAGAGGGAGGCAGAAGGAGAUGCUGCUCCAUAAGAGGAGAGAGAACUGUGGCAACGGAAGCAAAGGGCUGGGGUCACGGGUGCCAAGGAAUGCAGCAUCCAGAAUCUAGGAAAGGCAAGGAACAGACUCUCCCCGAAGCCCCCAGAAAACACGAGCCCGCUGACGUCUUGACUUCAGCUCAAUGAAGCUGAUUUUAGCCUUCUGGAUUGUAGAGAAUAAGUCUGUGUUGUUUUAAGCCAUCAAGUUUGUGGUCAUUUGUUACAGCAGCAGCUGGAAACUGAUACAGACAGCUUGUGCUCCUUUGCAGACAAGAGGAUAAAGAAGGCACUGGGAGGAAGCAGAAAGACUGGUCCGGAGGCAUUCUCCAUCCUCUCCCAGAAAGACAGUGCGGGCCUGGGCUAGGGCGGCGGAUGUGAGGAGGAGGUGAAAAUAGCUAGAUUCUGGAUACAUUUUGAAGGAUCAGUUGAGGUGAAUUAGAUAUGGGAUGGAAAAUAAAAAUUAAGGAUGGUCCCAAGAUUUUUGGUUCCAGUGGUUUGGGGUGCUGUGUACUGAAAUGGGAAAGGAGUGGCAGGAGCAGGUUUAGGGGAGGUGUGGGUGGAAUCGAGAGUUUGGCCUGGUAUGUGUCAAAUGUGAGCUGCUUAUUAAACAGCCAAGUGGGAAGGUCCAGGGGAUGCUUGGAUAUAUCAUCAUAUUAGGUAUAUUGGACAUAUGAGUCCAUGUCAGGGGAGAGGUCCAGACUAGUGAUGUAGAUGUGGGGGUCCCCAAUCCAAGUCCAUCCUGUCUGCCUGGGACAAGGGUACUCUUUCUGCCCAGGGAGAGCUUUGGGUGGUCAUGCUAAACAGCUGUGUCCAACAAAUGACUAACCUGCUCUAGGACCCUCCUUGGGUCNNNNNNNNNNNNNNNNNNNNNNNCCCAUCAUCACAGCCUGCAUUCUGCAGAUAGAGACGAAGAGGCUUAGCAACGGGAAGGGAGCUGCCCAGGGUCAUCAGGGAGGAAGAGGCAGCACUGGAUUUGAACCGUGUCUGCAGGGACACUGGGGACCUUUCAAGGGUUAAGCUGGAGACUGGCUAGUCCAAUUCCUCCCCCUGCAGUCUAGGAUGGUGGGUGCUAUUAUUUAAACCAUUCUGGCAGCAUGGUGUCCCUCCCGCAAGGAGCCAGGCUCCAAGUAUUUGCCAGGAACCACCAUGGAAGGGAUAGAGAUCGCAUGACCAGGAAACUGUGAACUUGCUCAAGGCCUGAUAUGUACAAAUCUUUUGCCUUAGACUUCACAAAAGCAGCUUACUCCAGGGAAGCUGAGGAUGCAC